rnacentral:sRNA from 1 species
GUGUGUGCCUGUGUGCUUGUGUGUGCCUCUGUGUGUGUGUGUGUGUGUGUGUGUGUGUGUGUAAAAUCUUUCCAUUGGUUCCAUGGCCAGUUCGAGGGAAAUUCCCCUCUCAUGUGACCCUUAAUGUUUCAGGCAAAAAUAGUUUGUUUUUCUCUGGAUGAGCUGAGUUAAUAAAGGCCUUAGUGUCUUCCUAAACGCAAUAAAGGAAAGGAACGGUGCUGUGUCAACCUCAGACUCACAGGCUGCAGUGCUGCCUCGCCAGGAUGGGUAUGUUCCACGUGUUCUGAGGAGACAGUGAUGUACAACUCUUCACCAGAUGCUACAAUGGAAGACAAUUGAAGUUACCGACAGGCUUAGGCAGAAGAGAUUGUUUGACUGUACCAAACUUUUAAAUAGCUUCGGGCAGUUUAACCAUCUGGUGAUGUAGGUAAAAAUGGAGACUUGGAUUCAGAAUGUCUCGGAGCCCAAGAUUUCUCUUUUCUUACGGGCACCCAAAAUCUUGUAGGUGGUUCUUGUUUUGGGGACCACACUUGGAAUACAAGGUCCUUAGUCAUUUCUUCCCAGGGAAAGUCUGAACUCUCGUGGGGGCUGAGCAGUAUGUGGGGAGACAGUGGACCAAUUCAGGACUCUGGGGAGGGUCUGAGUCGGAACUGAGCUGAAGAGAGUCAAGGGACACUGUUAUUAGGAUGUUGUGUUUGGUGGGUGCUGGAUCUAAUCCAGCUGCUUUCAGAUGUGCUAGAAUCAUCCCUCCUGAGAAAGUUCCUUCCCACUCAGUGGCCACUGCAGCUUCUCUCUUAUUGUGGCCUUGAGGAUUCAGGAACACACAGGUUAUUGGUGCAAUCACAGUGUGGUGGGCCUGUAUGAUCUAACAUUGAUUGACAAGGAUAAUUAUAACACGGGGACAAAAGCAUUUUAUAAAGUUGAUGGGCAAUGAGGGUGUGCACUGAGAUUCUAGGUCACGCCAGUCAGAAUGUUUAUCUUCAAGAGAACAAAUAACAGAUGUUGGUGCAGGUGGGGGAGAACUUUUAUGCACUGUAGGUGGGAUUAUAAAUUAGUCUAGGCACUAUGGAAAUCAAUAUGGAAAGUCUUAAAAAGAAACAACCCUGGAAAUGCCACAACCAUGUGAUCCACCUAUGCCACUCAAGAAUAUGUAACCAAAGUCAA